GACGAACGCUGGCGGCGUGCUUAACACAUGCAAGUCGAGCGGAGCGGCGAACGGGUGAGUAACGCGUGAGUAACUGCCCCCCUCUCUGGGAUCACAGUUGGAAACGGCUGCUAAUACCGGAUAGUGGGGGAUGACUCGCGUCCUAUGAGCUUGUUGGUGGGGUAGUGGCCGACCACGGCGACGACGGGUAGCCGGCCUGAGAGUGCGACCGGCCACCAUGGGCUAGGGGACGGCCCAAACUCCUACGGGAGGCAGCGGUGGGGAAUAUUGCGCAAUGGGGGAGACCCUGCUGCGAAAACGCCGCGUGCGGGAUGACGGCCUUCGGGUUGUAAACCGCUUUCAGCCAUGACGCGGUAGUGGCAGAAGAAGCACCGGCUAACUACGUGCCAGCAGCCGCGGUAAUUC
rnacentral:rRNA from 1 species